GGAGAGGUGGCCGAGUCCGGUUGAAGGCGCUCGACUCGAAAUCGAGUAGGCGGCUAGUAACUGUCUCGCGGGUUCGAAUCCCGCCCUCUCCGCCA
rnacentral:tRNA from 1 species